rnacentral:rRNA from 1 species
AUUGAACGCUGGCGGCAGGCCUAACACAUGCAAGUCGAGCGGAUGAAGGGAGCUUGCUCCUGGAUUCAGCGGCGGACGGGUGAGUAAUGCCUAGGAAUCUGCCUGGUAGUGGGGGAUAACGUCCGGAAACGGGCGCUAAUACCGCAUACGUCCUGAGGGAGAAAGUGGGGGAUCUUCGGACCUCACGCUAUCAGAUGAGCCUAGGUCGGAUUAGCUAGUUGGUGGGGUAAAGGCCUACCAAGGCGACGAUCCGUAACUGGUCUGAGAGGAUGAUCAGUCACACUGGAACUGAGACACGGUCCAGACUCCUACGGGAGGCAGCAGUGGGGAAUAUUGGACAAUGGGCGAAAGCCUGAUCCAACCGUGCCGCGUGUGUGAAGAAGGUCUUCGGAUUGUAAAGCACUUUAAGUUGGGAUGAAGGGCAGUAAGUUAAUACCUUGCUGUUUUGACGUUACCAACAGAAUAAGCACCGGCUAACUUCGUG